rnacentral:rRNA from 1 species
GUAAAUAAUAAAGGGCGUAUGGUGGAUGCCUAGGCUCUCAGAGGCGAUGAAGGACGUGAUAAGCUGCGAAAAGCUCCGUUUAGGUGCAAAUAACCUUUGAUGCGGAGAUCUCCGAAUGGGAUAACCCAAUAUGUUGAAGACAUAUUAUACCGUAAGGUAGGCAAACGCAGGGAACUGAAACAUCUAAGUACCUGCAGGAGAAGAAAACAAACGUGAUUCCCCCAGUAGCGGCGAGCGACCGGGGAUAAGCCCAAACCGUUAUUGUUUCGGCAGUAGCGGGGUAGUAGGACUGCGACAUUGAUGAAAUAAAUGAAAUGGAACACCUUGGAAAAUGUGAUCACAGAGGGUGAUAAUCCCGUACAUGUAAGUUUAUGAAUCAUAGCAGACUCCUGAGUAAGUCGGGACACGUGUAAUCCUGACCGAAUCCGCCGGGACCAUCCGGCAAGGCUAAAUACUCCUGAGAGACCGAUAGUGAACCAGUACCGUGAGGGAAAGGUGAAAAGCACUUCGAACAGAAGAGUGAAAUAGUCCCUGAACCCAUACGCCUACAAGCAGUCGGAGCCGCUUCGUGCGGUGACGGCGUGCCUUUUGCAUAAUGAGCCUACGAGUUACUCAUCACCAGCGAGGUUAAGUACUUCAGGUACGUAAGCCGAAGCGAAAGCGAGUCUGAAUAGGGCGUCAAGUUGGUGGUGGUAGACGCGAAACCUUAGUGAUCUACCCAUGGGCAGGGUGAAGGUUUGGUAACACAAACUGGAGGCCCGAACCGGUAAACGUUGAAAAGUUUUCGGAUGACCUGUGGGUAGGGGUGAAAGGCCAAUCAAACUGGGAAAUAGCUCGUACUCUCCGAAAUGCAUUUAGGUGCAGCCUCUGUUGUUUUGUUCUAGAGGUAGAGCUACUGAUUGGAUGCGAGGGCUUCACCGCCUAUCAAAUCCGGCCAAACUCCGAAUGCUAGAACAUAAAGACAGGGAGUGAGCCAGCGGGUGCUAAGGUCCGUUGACGAAAGAGGGAGAACUCAGACCAUCAGCUAAGGUCCCCAAUUAUAUGCUAAGUUGGAAUAAAAACGGGGUGGGACUGCUUAGACAGCUAGGAUGUUGGCUUGGAAGCAGCCAUUCAUUUAAAGAGUGCGUAACAGCUCACUAGUCGAGCGGUCCUGCAUGGAUAAUACGCGGGCAUAAGCAUAUAACCGAAGCUAUGGGAUUGUAGAUGAUACAAUCGGUAGGAGAGCAUUCCAUUCAGCAUAGAAGCAGUAUCGUGAGGUAUUGUGGAGCGGAUGGAAAAGCAAAUGUAGGCAUAAGUAACGAUAAUGCGGGUGAGAACCCCGCACGCCGAAAGAUCAAGGAUUCCCCGGCAAUGUCAAUCAUCCGGGGGUAAGUCGGAUCCUAAGGGUAAGCCGAGUGGCGAUCCCGAUGGUAAACAGGUUAAUAUUCCUGUACUGAUCAUAACUGCGAUGCAGCGACGCAGAGGUGACACUGCUGCGUACUGACGGAAUAGUACGUUGAAACCCGUAUUCUUUGAUACCGGUAGUGAAGCACGCCGGUAGAGAUGAAAGGUGAUAGUACCGCAAUGCUUCGGUUGCGCGGAUAAUGCAGGUAAGCUGACUGCCAAGAAAACCUGCUAAGCUUCAGGUAAUGAUCAUCCGUACUGUAAACGGACACACGUGAUCAGGUAGAAAAUACUAAGGCGCUCGAGAGAUUCAUGGUUAAGGAACUAGGCAAAAUGGUCCUGUAACUUCGGGAUAAAGGACGCUCUUGUGAAAGAGCCGCAGAUAAUAGGCCCAGGCGACUGUUUACCAAAAACACAUGGCUAUGCUAAUUCGCAAGAAGAUGUAUAUGGCCUGACACCUGCCCGGUGCCGGAAGGUUAAGAGGAGAGCUCAGAGGUAACUCGAAGGUUUGAAUUGAAGCCCCGGUAAACGGCGGCCGUAACUAUAACGGUCCUAAGGUAGCGAAAUUCCUUGUCGGGUAAGUUCCGACCUGCACGAAUGG